rnacentral:rRNA from 1 species
ACUCAAAUGAAUUGACGGGGGCCCGCACAAGCAGCGGAGCGUGUGGUUUAAUUCGAUGCAACGCGCAGAACCUUACCUAGGCUUGACAUGGCGGAAGUAGAACCCGGAAACGGGGACGACCUGUUGAGGCAGGAGUCGCCACAGAUGCUGCAUGGCUGUCGUCAGCUCGUGCCGUGAGGUGUUGGGUUAAGUCCCGCAACGAGCGCAACCCUCGUCGCCAGUUGCCUUUUCUGGCGAGACCGCCGGGUGCAACCCGGAGGAAGGUGGGGAUGACGUCAAGUCAGCACGGCUCUUACGUCUAGGGCUACACACACGCUACAAUGGCCGGUACAACGGGCAGCGAAGGGGCGACCCGGAGCCAAUCCCAGCAAAGCCGGUCUCAGUGGGGAUCGGAGGCUGCAACUCGCCUCCGUGAACGCGGAGUUGCUAGUAACCGCGGGUCAGCACACCGCGGUGAAUACGUUCCCGGGCCUUGUACACACCGCCCGU